GACGAACGCUGGCGGCGUGCUUAACACAUGCAAGUCGAACGGCAAGGCCCUGCUUUUGUGGGGUGCUCGAGUGGCGAACGGGUGAGUAACACGUGAGUAACCUGACCUUGACUUUGGGAUAACUUCAGGAAACUGGGGCUAAUACCGGAUAGGAGCUCAUGCUGCAUGGUGGGGGUUGGAAAGUUUCGGCGGUUGGGGAUGGACUCGCGGCUUAUCAGCUUGUUGGUGGGGUAGUGGCUUACCAAGGCUUUGACCGGUAGCCGGCCUGGGAGGGUGACCGGCCACAUUGGGACUGAGAUACGGCCCAGACGCCUACGGUAGGCAGCAGUGGGGAAUAUUGCACAAUGGGCGGAAGCCUGAUGCAGCAACGCCGCGGGCGGGAUGACGGCCUGCGGGGUGUAAACCGCAUCCGCCUGUGACGAAGCUUGAGUGACGGUAAUGGGUAAAUAAGCACCGGCUAACUACGUG
rnacentral:rRNA from 1 species